rnacentral:rRNA from 1 species
AAUGYUCCCCAGGGKRYUUCUUUCCCAGAACCCKUUCUUCCCGCUCGCCCCCSCYKWGGGKGUGAURRAUAUUUUUYYSWWWAACCCUUAGAGUUUGAUCCUGGCUCAGAACGAACGCUGGCGGCGUGCUUAACACAUGCAAGUCGAACGUGAUCCAGAGCUUGCUCUGGUGAAAGUGGCGCACGGGUGAGUAACGCGUGGAUAACCUGCCCUGGUAUCUGGGAUAACAUCUCGAAAGGGGUGCUAAUACCGGAUAAGCCUACGGGCUCUUCGGAGUCUGCAGGAAAAGGAGGCCUCUAUUUAUAAGCUUCCGUAUCAUGAUGGGUCCGCGUACCAUUAGCUAGUUGGUGGGGUAAUGGCCUACCAAGGCGACGAUGGUUAGCUGGUCUGAGAGGAUGAUCAGCCACACUGGAACUGAGACACGGUCCAGACUCCUACGGGAGGCAGCAGUGGGGAAUUUUGCGCAAUGGGGGAAACCCUGACGCAGCAACGCCGCGUGAGUGAUGAAGGCUUUCGGGUCGUAAAGCUCUGUCAGAGGGGAAGAAAUGGGUCGUGCUAAUAUCGCGACUUCUUGACGGUACCCUCAAAGGAAGCACCGGCUAACUCCGUGCCAGCAGCCGCGGUAAUAC